rnacentral:rRNA from 1 species
AGUGAACGCUGGCGGCAGGCCUAACACAUGCAAGUCGAACGGCAGCACAGAGGAGCUUGCUCCUUGGGUGGCGAGUGGCGGACGGGUGAGGAAUACGUCGGAAUCUGCCUAUUUGUGGGGGAUAACGUAGGGAAACUUACGCUAAUACCGCAUACGACCUACGGGUGAAAGCGGAGGACCUUCGGGCUUCGCGCAGAUAG